CGAACGGGCCAGGGUGGUCGGCGCCCUGGGCUUCCUCGGCGGGCCCGGCUCCCCGCUCCGGUUCGCGGAUCCGGACCUGCUCGGCC
rnacentral:tRNA from 1 species